rnacentral:rRNA from 1 species
UACAGAGGGGGCAAGCGUUGUUCGGAAUUACUGGGCGUAAAGGGCGCGUAGGCGGCCUUCUAAGUCGAACGUGAAAUCCCCGGGCUCAACCCGGGAACUGCGUCCGAUACUGGAAGGCUUGAAUCCGGGAGAGGGAUGUGGAAUUCCAGGUGUAGCGGUGAAAUGCGUAGAUAUUCGGAAGAACACCAGUGGCGAAGGCGGCUCACUGGCCCGGUACUGACGCUGAGAUACGAAAGCGUGGGGAGCAAACAGG